AAGAAGCCGAAGUAACCCAGACAACGACCAAAGCGUGCCGAAGGCAACUUCCUGCCCAACUUUCCUGAAGGACAGAAUUCAUCAGGUCUUGAACAUCUGAGGCAAGCCAAUGUUGAUGAAGUAAAACAGACUGAAAGAAACCUACUUCUCAUUAGUAAAAUGAUGCAGACCACCUUUGCCUUGUGGCGAUAUAACAUAGUGUAUGUUGUAUAAUGUCCUGCCCACCUGUGAAAGAGUUCUUGAGCCUCUAGCCUGCUCUUUGUAUUGAAUCUGAGGUAAGAUGGAUCAAAAUGUUUAACUUGUUUUUCCUUUGGUAGUCAUUUGUAUCCAAUUGUGUAACUGUUACUUUGCUGUCCCAAUUUUUUUAUAUAAAGGUGUCCGCAGAGUUCCACCCAAUAACUAACCAGAACCUGCCCAACACAUUUUACAGCGAGCAUGACCAUCAUAUUCCUCGCUUGAUGACACUCUUUUGACAGCAGGCUUCCAAAACUGGAAAGAUCGCAGAUUCAUUGGCUGACAUUCUAAAAGUCCAUGAUGAACAGGAGCUACAUGAUAUUACCACAAGGCGCACAACUGUUUUACAUGCUCUUCCUGUUUAUCUGAGCGAGGAAGUCUCUGCAUUUUUCAAAACACGUCUGGAUGAUAAAGUUGAGCCAAAUCUGGGGGAUGCAUCAGUGACUCUUUUAACAACCCUGUGAAGAUCACUGCUGUACUAGAGGGUGUUGUGGUGAUUACCCUACCAAGACUUGCUGAUGCUUUUUUGGUAAUGUUUGGCCUAAUCUACGCACUGCACCUCAGCUAUCCAAAGGGGCUUAUGAACACUUUUGAAUUCACUCAGAAAAUCUUACUUGGUUUGGAUGACUGCAAACUCUCAACAAGGCUGCAAACACUGAAGGAUGACUUGAUGUUGCGUAUGUAGAUUGUGGAUCUGGUGAAACGUCUGGUUUGUUUUAGCCAGUAACAUAGCCAGUGUCAAAUGUGGAGCACUGUUCAUGUUGAAGUUCCUGUUCUAUACAUUUUAGGCUAAACUUGUUAUUGCACUGUUAAUUAUGUGUAACAGUUGUUCCUGCUCCAAGGUAGAGAUUUUAUUCUUCAUUUUUAGGCUGACCAAAGUUAUAUUGCAAGUAAUAAAACAAUUUACACCACUGAGGUGCUGAAGGCACAGUUUUAAAGAUUCCCAAUGUAAUGUGCCAUUACAUUUAUUUUCAGGUUGUAAUUAUCUUUAUCUUAUCUAUCUUUAUUACAUAAUUGUUAUUUGAUAUUACAACUUCAUAUAAUAAUUCAAAAUAAUUGUUAGAAACAGUAAAGGAAGUGUGUGGGCAGAACAGUUUGUUAUUUUCAACUGUUAAAUAUAAAAAAGUUGAUUUACUUGACAGUUGACAUGUCUUGUUUUUUAAGUCAGUUCUACUAAAAGUAAGGCAAUCAUU